rnacentral:rRNA from 1 species
UGGGGAAUAUUGCACAAUGGGGGAAACCCUGAUGCAGCGACGCCGCGUGAACGAAGAAGGUAUUCGUAUCGUAAAGUUCUGUCCUAUGGGAAGAUAAUGACAGUACCUUAGAAGAAAGCUCCGGCUAAAUACGUGCCAGCAGCCGCGGUAAUACGUAUGGAGCGAGCGUUGUCCGGAAUUAUUGGGCGUAAAGGGUACGCAGGCGGUUUAAUAAGUCGAAUGUUAAAGAUCGGGGCUCAACCCCGCAAAGCAUUGGAAACUGAUAAACUUGAGUAGUGGAGAGGAAAGUGGAAUUCCUAGUGUAGUGGUGAAAUACGUAGAUAUUAGGAGGAAUACCAGUAGCGAAGGCGACUUUCUGGACACAAACUGACGCUGAGGUACGAAAGCGUGGGGAGCAAACAGG